UCCAUUUCCUUUCGUCGGAUUCUGUUCAAAUUUUAGGUGCAUGUUUCCCGUUCCGACCGUGUCCUACAACAUUCUAUUUGGCUCUUGGAUUCUCAUCCAAGCCGUUGCGAGUGCCAUCUCAGUGCUUGGACGCUUACUUGCUUAUUCUACCCUGCUUCUCGGAGCCAUCUGGACGUAUUUCGCUCCGCUCUGCGUGGGACUUAUAUUUUCGUCGCCGUCUCCAUGCUGUGACAGUGUCUUUGUGCCGUGUCAGUGAUCACUGAAGGUGUUUUGUGUGUGUACCUUAGAAUCAACCUACAGAAGCCGUGGCAGGUGUGUGCGCAUUCCAGAUACCUUCGUCAAAUAUGCAGAAAAAGAAACUAUCGACAUCAAAGGUGCCUGGACAGAAACGGAAAAAGCUCAUCAAAAAGCAUUUGGCAAACUUUCUGAGGGACCUACGUCGCGCCAGUACCUGAAUAAACCGGUAUUUUGUAA